rnacentral:tRNA from 1 species
GCGCCCGUAGCUCAGUUGGAUAGAGCGGCGGUCUCCGAAGCCGCAGGUCAGAGGUUCGACCCCUCUCGGGCGCGCCA